rnacentral:rRNA from 1 species
AAAGACUAAUCGAACCAUCUAGUAGCUGGUUCCCUCCGAAGUUUCCCUCAGGAUAGCUGGAACAAUUAUGCAGUUUUAUCAGGUAAAGCGAAUGAUUAGAGGUCUCAGGACUAUUAUGGUCUUGUCCUAUUCUCAAACUUUAAAUUGGUAAGAACUCUUUGUUCUCUUAACUGAACAUUGAGACAGAAUGCGUGUUCCUAGUGGGCCAUUUUUGGUAAGCAGAACUGGCGAUGAGGGAUGAACCUAACGUUGAGUUAAGGUGCCCAACUAUACGCUCAUGAGAUACCACAAAAGGUGUUGAUUCAUCUAAACAGCAGGACGGUGGACAUAAAAGUCGUCAUCCGCUAAGGAGUGUGUUACAACUCACCUGCCGAAUGAAUUAGCCCUGAAAAUGAUGGCGCUAAAGCGUAUG